rnacentral:rRNA from 1 species
GAUCCUGGCUCAGAGCGAACGUUAGCGGCGCGCCUAACACAUGCAAGUCGCACGAGAAAGGGGGCAACCCCCGGUACAGUGGCGCACGGGUGAGUAACACGUGGAUUACCUGCCCUGGAGUGGUGGAUAACCUGCCGAAAGGUGGGCUAAUACAGCAUGAGACCACGCGGUUUCGAUCGUGAGGUCAAAGCGGGCUUCUGUUCACAAGCUCGCGCUCUAGGAUGGGUCCGCGGCCCAUCAGCUAGUUGGUAGGGUAACGGCCUACCAAGGCUACGACGGGUAGCUGGUCUGAGAGGAUGGCCAGCCACACUGGAACUGAGACACGGUCCAGACUCCUACGGGAGGCAGCAGUGGGGAAUCUUGCGCAAUGGACGAAAGUCUGACGCAGCGACGCCGCGUGGGUGACGAAGGCC